rnacentral:rRNA from 1 species
UAGGGAAUCUUCGGCAAUGGACGAAAGUCUGACCGAGCAACGCCGCGUGAGUGAAGAAGGUUUUCGGAUCGUAAAACUCUGUUGUUAGAGAAGAACAAGGACGUUAGUAACUGAACGUCCCCUGACGGUAUCUAACCAGAAAGCCACGGCUAACUACGUGCCAGCAGCCGCGGUAAUACGUAGGUGGCAAGCGUUGUCCGGAUUUAUUGGGCGUAAAGCGAGCGCAGGCGGUUUCUUAAGUCUGAUGUGAAAGCCCCCGGCUCAACCGGGGAGGGUCAUUGGAAACUGGGAGACUUGAGUGCAGAAGAGGGAAGUGGAAUUCCAUGUGUAACGUUGAAAUGCGUAGAUAUAUGGAGGAACACCAGUGGCGAAGGCGGCUCUCUGGUCUGUAACUGACGCUGAGGCUCGAAAGCGUGGGGAGCAAACAGG